AGAGUUUGAUCCUGGCUCAGCGCGAACGCUGGCGGCAUGGUUAAAGCAUGCAAGUCGAACGAUUAAAGCCCCUUCGGGGGUGUAUACAGUGGCGCAAGGGCGAGGAAUACGUUCCUACGUACCCCGAGGUCGAGGACAGCCCGGGGAAACCCGGAGUAAUACUCGAUGUGGUCCCGGCUUCGUCGGGAUCAAAGGCUUCGUCGCCUUGGGAGCGGGGAACGUCCUAUCAGGUUGUUGGUGGGGUAACGGCUCACCAAGCCGAAGACGGGUAGCGGGUGUGAGAGCACGAACCGCCGCAUCGGGACUGAGACACUGCCCGGACUCCUACGGGAGGCUGCAGCAACGAAUCUUCCGCAAUGCGCGAAAGCGUGACGGAGCAAUGCCGCGUGCAGGAUGAAGCCCUUCGGGGUGUAAACUGCUGUCAGGGUUUAGCAACCCAAUGAGCAAACCCAAAGGAGGGCCGGCUAACUUCGUGCCAGCAGCCGCGGUAAUACGAAGGGCCCGAGCGUUGCGCGAAAUCACUGGGCUUAAAGCGUACGUAGGCGGGCACGCAGGCACCUUGUGAAAUCCCUUGGCUCAACCAAGGAAUUGCUUGGUGAACCGCGUGUCUUGAGGCAAGUAGAGGCUGUCGGAACGAUAGGUGGAGCGGUGAAAUGCGUUGAUAUCUAUCGGAACGUCGAAGGCGAAGGCAGGCAGCUGGGCUUGUUCUGACGCUAGGUACGAAAGCGUGGGGAGCGAACGGGAUUAGAUACCCCGGUAGUCCACGCCGUAAACGAUGUGCACUAGACCGAGGGGGUUCUGACGCCAUUCUCGGUCGAAGCAAAAGUGUUAAGUGCACCGCCUGGGGAGUACGGUCGCAAGGCUAAAACUCAAAUGAAUUGACGGGGGCCCGCACAAGCGGUGGAGCAUGUGGUUUAAUUCGAAGCAACGCGAAAAACCUUACCAGGUCUUGACAUCCUGCGAACUUUCUAGAAUAGAUUGGUGCCUUCGGGAACGCAGUGACAGGUGCUGCAUGGCUGUCGUCAGCUCGUGUCGUGAGAUGUUGGGUUAAGUCCCGUAACGAGCGCAACCCUUGUCCUUAGUUACCAGCACAUUAUGGUGGGCACUCUAAGGAGACUGCCGGUGACAAACCGGAGGAAGGUGGGGACGACGUCAAGUCAUCAUGGCCCUUACGACCUGGGCUACACACGUGCUACAAUGGGCGGUACAGAGGGUUGCCAAGCCGCGAGGUGAGCUAAUCCCAGAAAACCGUUCGUAGUCCGGAUUGUUCUCUGCAACUCGAGAGCAUGAAGUCGGAAUCGCUAGUAAUCGCGGAUCAGCAUGUCGCGGUGAAUACGUUCCCGGGCCUUGUACACACCGCCCGUCACACCAUGGGAGUGGGUUUUACCAGAAGUAGUUAGUCUAACCGUAAGGGGGACGAUUACCACGGUAGUAUUCAUGACUGGGGUGAAGUCGUAACAAGGUAACC
rnacentral:rRNA from 1 species